CUCACCGUCUGCUGACUCAGCUGCUCUGACAGCACUCUGCUAUCCUCGGCCUGGCCUGGCUUCAUCAUCUCCUGCUGGGCAGUGGUUUCCUCAAUCCACUUGAUGAGAGUUCCAUGGCAGGCUCGGUAAUCUCUCAGAACUUCCUGGAUACUUUCUACCUCAGAUUGCCUGGAGGAACAAAUGGAAGGAAGCAUGGUCAAACAUCCUAAAGUUAAUGCAGAUAGAGCGCAGCUGCUCAGGCCUCCAGCCUAAGAAAGACCAACUUCCUGUCUCUACUAGUUAUACCUUCAUAAGCAAAGCAUCAAAUGACAGAAGUAAACUGAACCUAGUAAAAUCAGCAACUAUAACAGAAGCCAUAAAGUCUAUAAAGCCUCAUUCUGAAAAUGGAUCAAAUUAGAUUCAAGCCUAAUAAAACAAGAACGAAAACCUA